UACGGGGGGGAGCAAGCGUUGUUCGGAUUUACUGGGCGUAAAGGCGCGUAGGCGGCCAGCACAAGUCAGUUGUGAAAUCUCCGAGCUUAACUCGGAAAGGUCAACUGAUACUGUGCGGCUAGAGUGCAGAAGGGGCAACUGGAAUUCUUGGUGUAGCGGUGAAAUGCGUAGAUAUCAAGAGGAACACCUGCGGCGAAGGCGGGUUGCUGGGCUGACACUGACGCUGAAGCGCGAAAGCUAGGGGAGCGAACGGG
rnacentral:rRNA from 1 species